CCUUUGUGAACAUACCUAUAACUGUUGCUUCGGCGGGUAGGGUCUCCGCGACCCUCCCGGCCUCCCGCCUCCGGGCGGGUCGGCGCCCGCCGGAGGAUAACCAAACUCUGAUUUAACGACGUUUCUUCUGAGUGGUACAAGCAAAUAAUCAAAACUUUUAACAACGGAUCUCUUGGUUCUGGCAUCGAUGAAGAACGCAGCGAAAUGCGAUAAGUAAUGUGAAUUGCAGAAUUCAGUGAAUCAUCGAAUCUUUGAACGCACAUUGCGCCCGCCAGCAUUCUGGCGGGCAUGCCUGUUCGAGCGUCAUUUCAACCCUCAAGCUCUGCUUGGUGUUGGGGCCCUACAGCUGAUGUAGGCCCUCAAAGGUAGUGGCGGACCCUCCCGGAGCCUCCUUUGCGUAGUAACUUUACGUCUCGCACUGGGAUCCGGAGGGACUCUUGCCGUAAAACCCCCCAAUUUUCCAAAGGUUGACCUCGGAUCAGGUAGGAAUACCCGCUGAACUUA
rnacentral:rRNA from 1 species